rnacentral:tRNA from 1 species
CAAAUUAAAGUUUAUAUAAAUAUUUCAUUUACAUUGAAAAGAGAUUGAUUUGUUUCAUUUGAUUUGG